rnacentral:snoRNA from 1 species
UGGAUCAAUGAGGAGUACCCUGGGAUGUCUGAACGGAGGACUGUGAUUAAGCCCUGUAACUCUGAGGGUCCAU